GGCCGCGGGAAUUCGAUUCAGGCCUAACACAUGCAAGUCGAGCGGUAGAGAGAAGCUUGCUUCUCUUAAGAGCGGCGGACGGGUGAGCAAUGCCUAGGAAUCUGCCUGGUAGUGGGGGAUAACGUUCGGAAACGGACGCUAAUACCGCAUACGUCCUACGGGAGAAAGCAGGGGACCUUCGGGCCUUGCGCUAUCAGAUGAGCCUAGGUCGGAUUAGCUAGUUGGUGAGGUAAUGGCUCACCAAGGCGACGAUCCGUAACUGGUCUGAGAGGAUGAUCAGUCACACUGGAACUGAGACACGGUCCAGACUCCUACGGGAGGCAGCAGUGGGGAAUAUUGGACAAUGGGCGAAAGCCUGAUCCAGCCAGGCCGCGUGUGUGAAGAAGGUCUUCGGA
rnacentral:rRNA from 1 species